rnacentral:rRNA from 1 species
AGGGCACCACCAGGAGUGGAGCCUGCGGCUUAAUUUGACUCAACACGGGAAAUCUCACCAGGCCCGGACACCGGAAGGAUUGACAGAUUGAGAGCUCUUUCUUGAUUCGGUGGGUGGUGGUGCAUGGCCGUUCUUAGUUGGUGGAGCGAUUUGUCUGGUUAAUUCCGAUAACGAACGAGACUCCGGCCUACUAACUAGAUGGAGGAUCCCUUCGUGGGUUCUUCACUGCUUCUUAGAGGGACGGGCGGCGUUUAGCCGCACGAGAUUGAGCAAUAACAGGUCUGUGAUGCCCUUAGAUGUUCUGGGCUGCACGCGCGCUACACUGAAGGAAUCAGCGUGUCCUCCCCGCUCUGAAAAGAGUGGGUAACCCGUUGAAACUCCUUCGUGAUGGGGAUUGGAGAUUGUAAUUAUUCUCCAUGAACGAGGAAUUCCCUGUAGGCGCGAGUCAUCAGCUUGCGUCGAUUACUUCCCUGCCCUUUGUACACACCCCCCGUCGCUACUACCGAUCGAUUGAUUUAU